CAGUUAUUCAGAGCCGCUCCAGCUCGCUCGGUGAUUGGAUGGCAGUAACGAGGAAGCCAGCUUGGUUUACCAGCCGCUGCCUUCACCUGCGCACUGAAACGGGUCGGACACUGGAAGUAACUCAUCUCAACAAAAAAUUAUGAGAGAUCCUACUGGGUGUGGUGGUGCUAACUGGAGAUUCUCCUCAUCUGGUGGUAAUGGGAGAUGCCACUCACCCGCUGCUGUUUGACUUUCCCAGCCUACAUAAGAGCCAGUUUGCAGUCCACUCGUCGCCAGAUCGUUGCCUUACCCUAGUGGUACAACACCGGCCAUUAAGAGUUGUUUGAGUUUUUUGUGCACAGUCUUACGUGUAACUUUUGUCCUGCCACCUUUCCAGUCUGAAGAUCCCACCACAAGCUGUCAUUCUGGCCUGCUGUCCUGCCACCACCCCUGCCUCAGUUGCUUCCCAAGGACUGUGGACUCACUUUAAAUAAACCUGUUACCGCUUUACAGAAUCUGCUGUCUGCUCCUUCCUGGUUCCUGCCUGUCUUCCCGCAAACCUUAACAGUUUAAGAACUCCAUGUUCAGCUGUAUGUGUCUCUGUUUGGCACAGAUAUUAGCGUCAAUAUAGCCCACUCAGUUACCUCCAGGUCCACUGAAGGAAGCUUUUUCUCCUCUCAGUUCAGGCCACCAGCUCUCGUUAGUUGACAACCGCAGUCUGAAAAGGCAAUUUUGUUGUUUACAGCCAUUGUAGCAGUACUUAUAAGAAAACCAAAAUCCAAGGGCAGAAGUUUUUACAACAAUUUUGUUGUAAAAGUUCUUUUAGUGUAUUUCUGUUUUUGCUCAAACAAAAGGCAACACAAAGAUGUUUGUUACACUGUUUAUUGAUUGACAGGUAGCACUGAAAAGAAUACAGCAGGCACAAAAUACAACACUCUGAUUGGCCAGUAAUAUUGCAAAUCUUUUUUUUUCUCUAUGCCCAGUAUGUCACCCGCUCCUGCCCACCCCCAAAACACAGACAUUUUCUACAACUUUCAUGCUGGCUUAUUGGUCACAUUUCAUGGAAACAUUCUGCAUUUCUGUAGAAAAGAAAAAGAAAAGUAAACUACAGUACAUUCAUUUUUAGUGGGCAAAGUUCUCCUCUUUGGAAUAUUUUAGUUUUGACUAAGAAUGUAUAUUAUUACUGUGUUUACACAAGCUGAACUAGCUGCUUGGCUAGUGUUCAAAUACAUAAAUGUACUGUAAAGCUUGGCUUUGUAGAAAAACAAGGAAUUAUAUUUGCUAUAUGAGUACAUAAUUAUGUACUUUGAUUAUAUAUUAAAA